rnacentral:rRNA from 1 species
UACAGAGGGCUCAAGCGUUGUUCGGAUUCAUUGGGCGUAAAGGGUGCGUAGGCGGCGCGGUAAGUCGGGUGUGAAAUCUCGGAGCUUAACUCCGAAACUGCAUUCGAUACUGCCGUGCUUGAGGACUGGAGAGGAGACUGGAAUUUACGGUGUAGCGGUGAAAUGCGCAGAUAUCAGGAGGAACACCGGUGGCGAAGGCGGUUCUCUGGGCCUUACCUGACGCUGAGGAGCGAAAGCGUGGGGAGCAAACAGG